GUCCACUCGUGUAUCUAAACCGUGGACGUAGCCAACGUCAACAAGGCAACCGCGGCAACACCCGCUGGCCAAAACAGGAUUGAUCUUCAGUUAUCCUGACCUGUGACAAGUGAACCAUGGGCUGCUCGGGGAGCAAAGGGGAAGCCAACGAUACACGUCGCGGCACGACUACAAAGAUGACCUGUCCUGUGGUGAAACUGUCGACUGGAGCGUCCAUGCCUCAGGUCGGGCUGGGGACGUGGCAG